rnacentral:rRNA from 1 species
GCAGGCUGCAACCCGCCUGCGUGAAGUUGGAAUCGCUAGUAAUCGCGGAUCAGCAUGCCGCGGUGAAUACGUUCCCGGGCCUUGUACACACCGCCCGUCACACCAUGAGAGUCGGGAACACCCGAAGUCCGUAGCCUAACCGCAAGGGGGGCGCGGCCGAAGGUGGGUUCGAUAAUUGGGGUGAAGUCGUAACAAGGUAGC